UGGGGAAUUUUGGACAAUGGGGGCAACCCUGAUCCAGUCAUGCCGCGUGCGGGAAGAAGGCCUUCGGGUUGUAAACUGCUUUUGUACGGAACGAAAAAGCUCCUUCUAAUACAGGGGGCCCAUGACGGUACCGUAAGAAUAAGCACCGGCUAACUACGUGCCAGCAGCCGCGGUAAUACGUAGGGUGCGAGCGUUAAUCGGAAUUACUGGGCGUAAAGCGUGCGCAGGCGGUUAUGUAAGACAGAUGUGAAAUCCCCGGGCUCAACCUGGGAACUGCAUUUGUGACUGCAUGGCUAGAGUACGGUAGAGGGGGAUGGAAUUCCGCGUGUAGCAGUGAAAUGCGUAGAUAUGCGGAGGAACACCGAUGGCGAAGGCAAUCCCCUGGACCUGUACUGACGCUCAUGCACGAAAGCGUGGGGAGCAAACAGGAUUAGAUACCCCAGUAGUCCCUGAGCGGGCUGGCAAGGCGCAU
rnacentral:rRNA from 1 species